GUGAAUUCACGCCUGUGUUGGUGGUCACAUAUAAACCACAAACUGCAUCAUUGUUCUUAAUUUUCUUCACUGCAAUUUGCUAUUGCUUCUUUCUCUCAAUCUCAAUGGCGAAAAUUUCAGUGGCAACCGCUUUGAGAACUCUCUUCACUGUUGGGGGACUUCUCAUGCUUGCUACCCUUCUUUACACUCUCUUCACCGAUGGUCUUCCGUUUCGUAAAGAACUUCUCACACCGUGGAUGGGAGCAACUUUGGUUGAUUUCUAUAUCAACGUUGUAGCUUUGGGUAUCUGGGUUGCUUACAAGGAAUCAAACUUGAUUAGCUCAAUUCUGUGGAUUAUUUUACUUGUUUGCCUUGGAAGCAUCGCUACAUCUGCCUAUAUUGUCGUGCAAUUUUUGAAGCUGUCAUCUCAAGAAUCUUCACAGGAUCCAAUGUAUUAUGUUCUGUUGCGACAUCCGAACAAGAAUGGCACAGCACCACAGAGAAAGCAUUUUUCGGUCAUGACCCUUAGAAUACUUUUCAGCAUUUUGGGGGUUGUCAUGCUUGGAACUUUGGUGUACACUCUUGUCACUGAUGGUUCUCCUUUCCGAAUGGAGCUUUUUACUCCGUGGUUGAUAGCAACACUAAUUGACUUCUACAUCAAUGUGGUGGCUCUAGCAGUCUGGGUUGCCUACAAAGAAUCCAGUUGGGUUUCUGCAGUCGUCUGGAUAAUUCUAUUAAUAUGUUUUGGCAGCAUUACUACUUGCUUCUACAUCGCAUGGCAGCUGUUUCAGAUAUCUGCUCAAGAUCCUGCUUACCUUGUUUUAGUGCAUCAUGGGGACAGGCAAGCAAGCAUUUAACACUCUUUCCUUUUGAUUUUUGAACAUUUGUAUUGGGACUUGAGCAGGCAUGAAGUGAUACUUAGGGUUGCAAAAUCCUUUAACUGUUAAGAAGUUAGUGUUCUGUCUCCCGAGACUGUUAUCUCUGGUUAAGUUUAUCAGGUCAGAAAACAAAUAUAAGGGGAUUUCUGGUGAGACAACAUAGCAAUGGUGUUCAUGAACCAAAGGCAUGUAAGACUCUCAUGUGGAAAUUAAAAAAGGUUUGGGAUAAUCCCUGAACAGAUAUGGUAAUACCAGAAGACAAAAUUAAAUUACUUUAGUACUGUAAUAGAUUUAGUUUGGAGAUCAAAACUUCUGUCAACACUACUGUCGGGUGGACGAUGUCGUUCUUCUAGCAGUAACUGCAGACUUGUACUUUCUUAAAAAAUUGAAUUUUUUUCCUCUGUAUAACACUGUAGCUGUAACUAAUUAUAAAGUUGAAAUGUCAGAAUCAGAGGAAAGUUACCUAUUCUUUUGUUAA